rnacentral:rRNA from 1 species
UACGAAGGGUGCAAGCGUUACUCGGAAUUACUGGGCGUAAAGCGUGCGUAGGUGGUUUGUUAAGUCUGUUGUGAAAGCCCCGGGCUCAACCUGGGAAUGGCAAUGGAUACUGGCAGGCUAGAGUGCGGUAGAGGGUAGUGGAAUUCCCGGUGUAGCGGUGAAAUGCAUAGAGAUCGGGAGGAACACCAGUGGCGAAGGCGGCUACCUGGACCAGCGCUGACACUGAGGCACGAAAGCGUGGGGAGCAAACAGG